UGACGGAGCACGCCGCGUGAGGGAUGAAGGCCUCUGGGCUGUAAACCUCUUUUAUCAAGGAAGAAAAUCUGACGGUACUUGAUGAAUAAACCACGGCUAAUUCCGUGCCAGCAGCCGCGGUAAUACGGGAGUGGCAAGCGUUAUCCGGAAUUAUUGGGCGUAAAGCGUCCGCAGGCGGCCCUUCAAGUCUGCUGUUAAAAAGUGGAGCUUAACUCCAUCAUGGCAGUGGAAACUGUUGGGCUUGAUUGUGGUAGGGGCAUAGGGAAUUCCCGGUGUAGCGGUGAAAUGCGUAGAUAUCGGGAAGAACACCAGUGGCAAAGGCGCUCUGCUGGGCCAUCACUGACGCUCAUGGACGAAAGCCAGGGGAGCGAAAGGGAUUAGAUACCCCUGUAGUCCUGGCCGUAAACGAUGAACACUACGUGUCGGGGGAAUCGACCCCCUCGGUGUCGUAGCCAACGCGUUAAGUGUUCCGCCUGGGGAGUACGCACGCAAGUGUGAAACUCAAAGGAAAUUGACGG
rnacentral:rRNA from 1 species